CAGGAGUGAAGCUGCUGUCUGAUCUUCUGGAGAGUCCACACUGUAGGCUGGAGACUCUGAGCUGGAGGUGAUCUCUGUCAGAGUGUGAGUGAUCAGAAAGGUGGAGGUGUUGAGAGAGGAUCAGCUGUGUCCUGAUGAUCCAGAGAGGUUGAAGCAGCAGCAUCAGCUUGUGUGUGGAGAGGCUCUGACUGGGCCAUGUUACUGGGAGGUAGAGUGGAGAGGAGAGCUUCAUCCAGCAGUGACUGACAGAGGAAUCCCAACAGUGCUGCAGUCUGAACUGCUCUGAGAUCAGCUCCCCUGUCAGACACAAAGUCACGUCCACCAUCAUCCCUGUGUGUUCCUCUGGAUGUGACAGAGUAUCAUCAGUGGAUCUGGACUGCUCUGCUGCUGCUCUGUCCUUCUACACAGUCUCUGCAGACACACUGAGACUCCUCCACUCCUUCUGCUGCACACUCAGACACCUCCUCCACCUGGACGUGGACCUGGACUUUAUUUCAUUCAGAUGUUGCAUGCAUUUAUGCAUGCAGCCUGCAUGCAUAAAGUUCCCUCUCUGAAGUUCUGCUCACCAACACCAGACUUUUCUGUCAGUUUAACAGAUAAUAGUUACUCACAGAAACAAGAAGAUAAAACCUGUAAAAAGUUUGGAUUUAAGUCUCAUUGUUAUUAGCGCAGGAUUAUAUAUCUGUUUACUUUAUUUAAAAUACUCUGUUUUACUAGUAUAUCCCAACAGAUUGUGUUGUUGCAGAAACUUAAUUAAAGAACUACAAAGUCUGGUGAUAAUUAUCUGUGGGUUUGUCUCUAUGAACGACCUCUUUCGCUUUCACGUCGUCAUCUGAUCCGCUGUAUAUAUAAAAAAUUCAUUAAAAAGUAUUUUUAUCCCCGUAUAACGUGGAUGAAAGAAGAAACUACUCCACAUUCAUCACUGUUAUUAGUCAUGAUGUGAAGUUUACACAAAAUAAAAUACUUGAUGAUGCUA